rnacentral:tRNA from 1 species
GCAGGUGUGGUUCAAUGGUAGAAUGUCACCUUGCCAAGGUGAAGACGCGGGUUCGAUUCCCGUCACUUGCUCCA